rnacentral:rRNA from 1 species
GCUGAACUUAAGCAUAUCAAUAAGCGGAGGAAAAGAAACCAACCGGGAUUACCUCAGUAACGGCGAGUGAAGCGGUAACAGCUCAAAUUUGAAAUCUGGCUCUUCCGGAGUCCGAGUUGUAAUUUGUAGAAGAUGCUUUGGGAGGUAGGGCCGGCCUAAGUUCCUUGGAACAGGACAUCAGAGAGGGUGAGAAUCCCGUAUGUGGCCGUGGCCUACGCCCGUGUAAAGCUCUUUCGACGAGUCGAGUUGUUUGGGAAUGCAGCUCAAAAUGGGUGGUAAAUUUCAUCUAAAGCUAAAUAUUGGCCAGAGACCGAUAGCGCACAAGUAGAGUGAUCGAAAGAUGAAAAGCACUUUGGAAAGAGAGUUAAACAGUACGUGAAAUUGUUGAAAGGGAAGCGCUUGCAACCAGACUUGGGCGUCGUCGAUCAUCCGGGGUUCUCCUCGGUGCACUCGACGAGGCACAGGCCAGCAUCGGUUUGGAUGGUUGGAGAAAGGCCCUAGGAACGUAGCUCUCUUCGGGGAGUGUUAUAGCCUAGAGCGCAAUGCAGCCCAUCCGGACCGAGGACCGCGCCUUUGGCUAGGAUGCUGGCGUAAUGGUUGCAAGCGACCCGUCUUGAAACACGGACCAA